UGUCCUACGGGAGGCAGCAGUAGGGAAUCUUCCACAAUGGACGAAAGUCUGAUGGAGCAACGCCGCGUGAGUGAAGAAGGGUUUCGGCUCGGAAAGCUCUUUUGGUAGGGAAGAAAGAUAGAGGUAGUAACUGGCCUUUUUUUGACGGUAAUUACUUAGAAAGUCACGGCUAACUACCUGCCAGCAGCCGCGGGAAUACGUAGGUGGCAAGCGUUGUCCGGAUUUAUUGGGCGUA
rnacentral:rRNA from 1 species